CAGCUGUCGUCCUCAAGGACAUAAAUUAUUUGGGGUACAAGUAAACAGAUAGAUUAUAGUACUAUGUGAUAGCUUUGUUGUUUAUUUUGGCUUUACUGCAAGAUUGCAAAUCCCUUUGCAAAUCAGAAUGCUAUCCUAUUUCUCUGUACUCAAGUGCACGAGGUAGUGUUGGGCAUAAAGCAGAUGUUCAAUAAGCACACGUUACUAUUCAUUUCUGUUCAAUUUUAAAAUCACUUAUCGAGUGCCUGCUUCCUGGAACAGAGAGGGUACUGCUAGGUACGUAAUAGCUAUCGCAGUGAUUAUAUGCUGUCUCAAUGAAGAUUUGGGCUAACUGAUACACUAGCUUAAAAGUUUCACCUUCAUCCAAUCAAUUCACAUUUUCCUAAGUGGUUAUGCUACUUCAUUCCAUAAAAACACAGUUUUGCUUUUCCUAAAAUCUGAUUUACAUUUUCUCCUCCGGCAAACUGGGGAGCCUCGGCGUGCGCUUGCACGCAUGCGCACACGCCAGCGCCUGGCGAAGCGCCCCCGCCCGCGAGCACCUCCAGCCACCCGCAUCCGUUGCACGGCCGUUGGGUAGUGGCGAGCCGGCACCAUGUCCGCCGCGGGAGUGGCGUUGUUGUUGUCCUGCCUGAGCUGUUGCGGCUCGGCCCUGUGGAGAUUAAGUUAGAGUAUGAAGGAACAUUAUUUUCUGAGUGGAGUGCUCCAGCAGCUUGUUCUAUAAAAAAUAAAAGAUUACCCAAGACAGAACUACGAUGUUCUUCUCCUGGUAUUUAUGCUAUAAAACCAAUUGUUUCAGGCCCGGUAAGUUGAUUUAAAUGAUAAAUUAGUAAAUCUUGAAUAACCAUCCCUGUUACAUUUUAUUUUGCCUUUUUUUGAGGUUUUUGACUUAAUUUAACCCAUUUUAAAU
rnacentral:lncRNA from 1 species